GUUAGUUUGCAUGUAAUGUAGAGCAGAGAAAACGCCUAUUACCUGAUAGUACCAUAACCACUACAAUAAUUAGUAAUAGUAAAAUAAGCGGUUAUGUGGCUUGGUGUCCUUCUUUUAGUAAAUUGCUAAAAAUGAAGGGAUUUGUUUAGCUGCUGACGAUAGUUUUAACCUUUGUCACUGCCAUGGGCACAGAGAGGUAUUCAUUAUGGAUACAGUCCUUGCAGCAAAAUGUGGUUCGGUUUGCUAGACAUUGCAUUGUCUGAGAGCAUUGCUACACACACUGAACCGGAAUUUUUAAAAAUGUACUUAUUUUUAUAAAUUGGCUCUUUUGGCAUCAUUAUUGCUAUGGUUUCCAGGUCGCUGUAAUUCAGUAUUAUAAACUUUAACCCCUUAAUAAGGGGCCCAAAAUCCUGUUCUGUUUUGAACCCCUGAGCAAGUGAUGAACAGGUUAAAUGUUACCGCGCUCCACAAGCAGAUUUUGAUAUCCACACACCUUGUGGGAUAAUCGGGGCAGUAUUUUUGGUUGUUGGCAGUAUCUUGCUCGGCCACGGAAACCUGGGUUUUUGUGUUUGAAUCAGUUUUUUUCUUUUAUCCUGUUAAUUCUUCCUUUUUGUCUCCUAUUUUCUUUUUGGCUUUGUUCCAUACCAUUUAACGAUUCGCUACACCUUCUGCCACGAGAGGGUGUAGGUGAGGCAUUACUCCAGCUAAAAUUGACUGGCACCACCUCGAUAAUUAUAUUUAAUCUGAUUGUCCCACUUUCUCUGUGAUCUGUUCCAACAAACAGGGUGUUUGACUCAGACCUGACUGAUAUAGCAAUGUGUGGGUGUCUGAUUGCUAUUUACACAAGUAGAUAAAUAAAACCUUUAGUAUUUUUACAUUUUUUUUUAUAUUACAGUGUAAUCCUGAAAUCAUUGUGUAAACAAGGUAUUGUAUGAUGACCGCUGCAGGUUAACUUCCACUCCCACAAUUCACAGCUAGCAUGUCCCCAGCCAAACGGUUGUUGAGGGCCGUGACCGUGUAAUUCAAUAGUCUGCUCUUGGCUUCUGCACCGGUAACUUGUCACAAGAUGCACACUGUAACACUAUGCUACGUAUGGCAGUGACUCAUUCAGUACAAGGAGCUAUCAAGGUGCUGGGGUUUAUUUAAACUUUGUCAGCCACAUUCCUUG